GUGCCAGCCGCCGCGGUAAUACGUAGGUGGCGAGCGUUGUCCGGAAUUACUGGGCGUAAAGGAUGCGUAGGCGGAUAUUUAAGUCAGAUGUGAAACUCCCGGGCUUAACUUGGGAACUGCAUUUGAAACUGGGUAUCUAGAGUGCGGGAGAGGAAAGUGGAAUUCCUAGUGUAGCGGUGAAAUGCGUAGAGAUUAGGAAGAACACCAGUGGCGAAGGAGGCUUUCUGGACUGUAACUGACGCUGAGGCACGAAAGCGUGGGUAGCAAACAGGAUUAGAUACCCUGGUAGUCCACGCCGUAAACGAUGAGUGCUAGGUGUAGGAGGUAUCGACCCCUUCUGUGCCGCAGUAAACGCAAUAAGUACUCCGCCUGGGAAGUACGAUCGCAAGAUUAAAACUCAAAGGAAUUGGCGG
rnacentral:rRNA from 1 species